CCUACGGGGGGCUGCAGUGGGGAAUAUUGGACAAUGGGCGAAAGCCUGAUCCAGCCAUACCGCGUGGGUGAAGAAGGCCUUCGGGUUGUAAAGCCCUUUUGUUGGGAAAGAAAUCCAGCCGGCUAAUACCUGGUUGGGAUGACAGUACCCAAAGAAUAAGCACCGGCUAACUUCGUGCCAGCAGCCGCGGUAAUACGAAGGGUGCAAGCGUUACUCGGAAUUACUGGGCGUAAAGCGUGCGUAGGUGGUUAUUUAAGUCCGUUGUGAAAGCCCUGGGCUCAACCUGGGAACUGCAGUGGAUACUGGAUGACUAGAAUGUGGUAGAGGGUAGCGGAAUUCCUGGUGUAGCAGUGAAAUGCGUAGAGAUCAGGAGGAACAUCCAUGGCGAAGGCAGCUACCUGGACCAACAUUGACACUGAGGCACGAAAGCGUGGGGAGCAAACAGGAUUAGAUACCCGUGUAGUC
rnacentral:rRNA from 1 species